rnacentral:rRNA from 1 species
AUUGAACGCUGGCGGCGUGCUUAACACAUGCAAGUCGAUCGGUAACGCGGGGGCAACCCUGGCGACGAGAGGCGGACGGGUGAGGAACGCUUGGGAAUCUGCCUAUCAGCGGGGGACAACCCGGGGAAACUCGGGCUAAUACCGCAUACGCUCUACGGAGGAAAGCCGGGGACCGCAAGGCCUGGCACUGAUAGAUGAGCCCAAGUCGGAUUAGCUAGUUGGCGGGGUAACGGCCCACCAAGGCGACGAUCCGUAGCUGGUCUGAGAGGACGAUCAGCCACACUGGGACUGAGACACGGCCCAGACUCCUACGGGAGGCAGCAGUGGGGAAUAUUGGACAAUGGGGGAAACCCUGAUCCAGCGACGCCGCGUGGGUGAAGAAGGCCUGCGGGUUGUAAAGCCCUUUCGGUAGGGACGAAAACUCUCGACUUAACACGUCGGGAGCUUGACUUAACCUACAAAAGAAGCACCGGCUAACUCUGUGCCAGCAGCCGCAGUAAUAC